rnacentral:rRNA from 1 species
AUUGAACGCUGGCGGCAGGCCUAACACAUGCAAGUCGAACGAGUGGCGGACGGGUGAGUAAUGUCUGGGAAACUGCCCGAUGGAUGGGGAUAACUACUGGAAACGGUAGCUAAUACCGCAUCCUAUCGGAUGUGCCCAGAUGGGAUUAGCUAGUAGGUGGGGUACCGGCUCACCUAGGCGACGAUCCCUAGCUGGUCUGAGUGGAUGACCGGCCACACGGAAACGAAGACACGGUCCAGACACAUACGUGCGGCAGCAGGGAGGAAGAAUGCACAAUGAGCGCAAGCCAGAUGCAGCCAGGCCGCUUGUGUGAAGAAGGCCUGCGGGUUGUAAAGUACUUUGAGCGAGGAGGGGUUACACGCAGAAAAAGCACCGGCUAACUCGGUGCCAGCAGCGGCGGUAAUA